CGUGGUUCUAAUGUUCUAACCUCAAUCUCUUGUUAUUCUGUAAUUUUUGUUUAGCGGGGGUAGCUUGUGUUUUGUGUUUGAUUGCAUUAUAUAUCCUAAGCCAAGAGCCAAGAUGAAUAGUGACCGUGUUAGAUCAAAAAAUUUUGAGUCCCAAGAAAUAUCUCUUCUUGUGGACUUAGUUCGAGAAAACAAGAAGGUGAUUGAGUGUAAGGAAAGUGGAAUUGUCACUAAUAAACAGAAGAACAUAGCGUGGGAGAAGUUAACAGAAAAAUUUAACGCUAUUUCUAGAACUGUUCCUCGGACGUCCAGAAAUUUAAAAGAGAAAUGGACGAAUUUAAAAAAAAAUGCGGUGCGUAAUUUUUCAAAAGACAAAAAUUACAGACAAGAAACUGGUGGUGGUCCCUCCAAAGGUCCACGUGAGACGUCAGUAGACGCAAUUGUCCGCGACAUUUUAGGGGACCAAUUGACAGGUUUGCCAGCAGUGUGUGAUGAUGAUGUUGUAGAUGUUGAAGUAACAACUCACAAUGAAAAUGAGGAUUCAGUUUUUAUUUUUAAACAGGACCUACUUAAGGAAGACAGCAAACAAAAACAAGAAAUUCAUAACAUAAUAAAAAAACAUUUACAGGAAGAGCAUGAACAAAAGCUGAGGCAUCGAGAAGAGGAACACAAUUUAAAAUUAAAACUGAUGCAGGAGGAGCAUACAUUGAAGAUGACCUUAUUAAGGCAAAAUAGUUCAUCAAUAAAUGUUGAUAGUAAUCUGUGAGAUAUAAUAAAACAAUUUUAUAUAA